rnacentral:misc_RNA from 1 species
GGAGCCUACUGAACUGUAUGCAACUCAAAGGAAACUUAAGGGUACCUCCCAAAAGAGUUGGUGUAUGGUUUUCUUCCCAUGCAAACUCUGGAGCGGUACUUAACCAUUCAUAAUCGCUCAGCUGUUUUAGAUGAUGAGCCCAUUUUGAUUUUCAGUAUCAUACGAGUCAGGGUUUGUAGGGUCUGCAUACCUGCAAGAAACAGAGCAUAUAUUUCAUUUAUCAGUGCAGCAUUCUCUGCUAAGCAGUAUUUCUUUUUUAAUGCAAGCAUUCUCAGCUGAGGUGCUUGUAAAUUCAAUAUCUAUAGAAAUUGUAAUGAAUUGAAUUCAAUGUUUUGUGUACAAGCAUUCUUCUGCGAUCAGAAGUGCAGGACACUCACUGCUACAAUGGCUUGAUCCUCAAAUGCUAUUUGGGCCUUAAUUUAUAUGGAUUUUAUUAUUUAACAUAUGAAAAAUCUGCAUGAAUCAACGGUCCAGAUUUAUUCAUUGUAUUUUCAAUAGCAU